UCUUUCCUCCCGAGUGCUUGCACUCAAUUGGAAAGAGGAGUGGCGGACGGGUGAGUAACACGUGGGUAACCUACCCAUCAGAGGGGGAUAACACUUGGAAACAGGUGCUAAUACCGCAUAACAGUUUAUGCCGCAUGGCAUAAGAGUGAAAGGCGCUUUCGGGUGUCGCUGAUGGAUGGACCCGCGGUGCAUUAGCUAGUUGGUGAGGUAACGGCUCACCAAGGCCACGAUGCAUAGCCGACCUGAGAGGGUGAUCGGCCACACUGGGACUGAGACACGGCCCAGACUCCUACGGGAGGCAGCAGUAGGGAAUCUUCGGCAAUGGACGAAAGUCUGACCGAGCAACGCCGCGUGAGUGAAGAAGGUUUUCGGAUCGUAAAACUCUGUUGUUAGAGAA
rnacentral:rRNA from 1 species